UACAGGGGGUGCAAACGUUGCUCGGAAUUAUUGGGCGUAAAGCGCGCGUGGGCGGCUACUUAAGUCGGAUGUGAAAGCCCUUGGCUCAACUGAGGAAGUGCACCCGAAACUGAGUGGCUUGAGUACUAAAGAGGGUCGCGGAAUUCCCGGUGUAGAGGUGAAAUUCGUAGAUAUCGGGAGGAACACCGGUGGCGAAGGCGGCGACCUGGGUAGAUACUGACGCUGAGGCGCGAAAGCGUGGGGAGCAAACAGG
rnacentral:rRNA from 1 species